rnacentral:rRNA from 1 species
GAUGAACGCUGGCGGCGUGCCUAACACAUGCAAGUCGAACGGAGAUUACGGACGGAAGUUUUCGGAUGGAAGCCUGUAAUUCUUAGUGGCGGACGGGUGAGUAACGCGUGGGCAACCUGCCCUAUACAGGGGGAUAGCAGCUGGAAACGGCUGGUAAGACCGCAUAAGUCGGUUAAAUCGCAUGAUUUGAUCGGGAAAUGAGCAAUCAGGUAUAGGAUGGGCCCGCGUCCGAUUAGCCAGUUGGCAGGGUAAAAGCCUACCAAAGCGAAGAUCGGUAGCCGGACUGAGAGGUCGGACGGCCACAUUGGGACUGAGCCACGGCCCAAACUCCUACGGGAGGCAGCAGUGGGGGAUAUUGCACAAUGGAGGAAACUCUGAUGCAGCGACGCCGCGUGAGUGAAGAAGUAUUUCGGUAUGUAAAGCUCUAUCAGCAGGGAAGAUGAUGACGGUACCUGACUAAGAAGCCCCGGCUAACUACGUG